GUGUUGUAUAAAAUGUUUGCGCUAAUAUCAAUGAUGAUGUGAUUUAGAUAUUUCAUUGAUGUGUGACUUAGCAUAGGCAAACAUGAACACCGAUGAGGAUUGUUCAGUAUGUUUACCUCUUCCAUUGCAUUCAUCUGACCCUUUAUUGGUUAUUGGGUUUGUGUGGAGUUCCUUGUUACUUUUUAGUUUGAGGGGUUUGUGUAAGAAUUCAAAGCUCAUGUCCUGAUCUGCACUUCGCUGGGAUGAGCCACUGCCAAGAGACGAAAGUGUGCUGCUAUCUGAUUAGAUGGAGAGGAUAGUUAGAUAGAUUACAGACUUUCGUCAGAAGACCGCUCCUGUUUUUUGACCAAGUCCCCCAUAAUUGAGAGAGGCUGAUAUAAACUGUCCUGCAUACAGACGCCUCCAACGAACACUAAUUCUCCCCUCCCCCCAACUUCUCCUCUCUCCCCACAAAUAUUUCUCCUUUCUUGGCUUUGCGGCAAAUCCAAAUGGAGGCGGCUUUUGCGUGACCUCCUCCGUCGCCCCAUCGCAGCCGCCUCCCUCGAUCUCCUCCAGGUAAUCUUCCGCGAGAGAUUCAUCUAGUCCGCUGAUUGUUGUGGGGCCGGGCUUAGGGUUUCGAUUCGGCCGUCCGCUUGAUCGGUGGCUGGUUGGAUGGAGUUGGAUCUGAUCCUUCCAGCUCCGGCUUCCGCUCCCCUUUUUGGAGGUUUUCGGUGGAUUGUAUAGCGGUGGAUCGCGAAAGGUCUCGCUUUCUGUUGUUUUUGCUCAUUCGGUUCCUCGUUUCUGUUGGAUCAUUUGUCCUACUUAUUCUUUUUGGUUUCUGUGUGUUCGUAGAUUCUUCUUUCUAUUUUUCUUUGCUGAGAGGGAGAAAUUGGUUUGAAGGUUGUGUGUUUUUUUGGGGUUUGGUGGUGGGAUUUAUGGAAUGGAACUGUGAGGAUUUUUCGUGGGAUGCUUCUAUUUGGUGUCGUGGGUCUCGAAUCUUGCCAGAUAGAUCGGAGUCGAAGAGGAGAGGAGACGUGAUCAAGGGAAGAAGAAGAGACGGAGAGGGGCGAGGGAGACCCCGCCAUGGGAGAGUCCCUCCUCACCGCUCUCUCCAUGGACCAUCACCACCACCCCUCAACCCUCCUGUCAAUGGACCCCAGCGGCAUUUCACAGCCGCCGCUGAUGGCAGCCUCCGUCCACGAUGACCACGACCAUGAGCUUCCGAACCGGCAACAUCAGCAAAUCCACCUCUCUGGUCCGCCGGACAUCAACCUCCCCCUCUCCGAUGACCACUCCCCUCCCAAGCAGUCGUGGAAUUCAUGUGACGUGUUGGAUGUCAGUCUUGAGGCCCAGACGUUCGACCCUGAAAUCAUGCUCGGCCUUCCCAAGGCUGGGACCGUUAAUGCUGCUGGUCGCAAGUGUGCCAAGAGAGGGAACAACAUCUGGGGUGCGUGGUUCUUCUUCAAUUUCUACUUCAAGCCUGUGCUCUCUGAGAAGUCCAAGGGCAAGAACAUCCGCACUGCAAACGGCACCCCGGGGUUUGACAAGUCGGACCUGCAUCAUGAUGUUUUCCUUGUUCAGCAUGACAUGGAGAAUAUGUAUAUGUGGGUGUUCAAGAAGCGGCCAGAGAAUGCGCUUGGAAAGAUGCAACUUCGGAGCUACAUGAAUGGGCACUCUCGGCUUGGGGUGCCUCAGUUCCCAUUCAGCAUUGAUAAGGGUUUCAUACGAUCCCAUCGGAUGCAACGCAAGCAUUACAGGGGGUUGUCUAACCCACUGUGCAUCCAUGGAAUAGAGGUUGUGUGGUCACCAAAUCUCUUGGUGGUUCCAGAGGUGGAUCUUAAGAAAUGGUUGGAACUUACUGGGAGAGACCUGAAUUUUUCGAUCCCACCAGAGGCUGGUGAUUUUGGGGCAUGGAGGAAUCUCCCGAGCACUGAUUUUGAGCUUGAGAGGCCACCUCCUCCAUUAAAGAGUACUUCUCAUCCCAAUUCAAGGAAAUUGCUAAAUGACACAGGUCUUAAGUUAUCAACGCAGCCAUCAAAUCAUGCGUGCGGAGAUUCGAUGGACCUUUCGCCUAAAUGUAGCAAACGCAGGAAGGAAAUUUCCCCUCAUGACACAGAUGAGGACUGCUGUUUGUCUAGUUACUCAUAUUUGGAUCGGCCGGAAAUUCACCCUGCUGUGCCUUCCUGGGUAAAUGAGUUUACCGGUGCUAUGAGGCAUGCAUGUGGACCGGUGACUGCUGCAAAGACAAUAUAUGAGGAUGAAGGGGGUUACUUGAUCAUGGUUAGCUUGCCUUUUUCUGACCAGCAGAAGGUAAAGGUCUCUUGGAAAAACAAUCUUACCCAUGGGGUAGUAAAGAUUUCAUGCGUCAGUACUGCUCGGAUGCCUUACAUAAAAAGACAUGAUAGAACCUUCAAGCUCACAGAUCCUUCUCCUGAGCAUUGCCCUCCAGGGGAGUUUGUAAGGGAAAUACCUCUUGCUACACGAAUUCCUGAAGACGCAAAGCUGGAAGCAUACUACGAUGAGACGGGAACUCUUUUAGAAAUAAUGAUACCUAAAUAUCGUGUUGGACCUGAGGAACAUGAGGUUCAUGUGAGCAUGCACCCUCCUCAUCUUGGAUCCAAUGAACUUCUGUCAUCUCAAACACCAUAGUAUAGUGUGUAGUGGUUAUUACGAUGGUCAGUUCUCAUUGUCUGCUAACCGUUUUAUCAUAAAAGGAGCGUAUGCGUUGGAAGUCCUUUUGCAACUGGGUUUUGCUGAUUGACUUGCUGCUCUGGCGUGUUUGAUGAGAAAAUAAACUGGGAUGGGACAAGAGCUUCACACAUGGGGUAAUCGAAGAAAAGUGGUAUGGUCUUCACUUUUCAUGUUCAUACAGCAAUAUGCGAAUGAAGUCGGGUUUAUGAAUUCUUUUUUGUUUCCCUUUUUACCUGAUUAUUUUGUAGGCAAUUCUCUGCUGAUUUGUUGGCAUAUCACACUGAUCUCCAUGGAAUGUGCUGAGUCAAAAAUUGUGCAGUCAUUGAUAUUUGGUAUUUUAAGUCAAUUGUUGCUUCACAGAGGAACUAUUUAUUGUAGAUUGACUAAUUCAGAAACAGUCAAUUGUUUUGGUAUUCAAAGGAUUUCUUUGUUCAAGGGAAAUUACUGGAUAUCACUUUAUCCUA